GAUCCUGGCUCAGGAUGAACGCUAGCUACAGGCUUAACACAUGCAAGUCGAGGGGCAGCAUUGGAGUAGCAAUACUCAGAUGGCGACCGGCGCACGGGUGAGUAACACGUAUCCAACCUGCCGCUUACUCGGGGAUAGCCUUUCGAAAGAAAGAUUAAUACCCGAUGGUAUAAAGAGUUCGCAUGUUCUCUUUAUUAAAGAAUUUCGGUAAGCGAUGGGGAUGCGUUCCAUUAGAUAGUUGGCGGGGUAACGGCCCACCAAGUCUACGAUGGAUAGGGGUUCUGAGAGGAAGGUCCCCCACAUUGGAACUGAGACACGGUCCAAACUCCUACGGGAGGCAGCAGUGAGGAAUAUUGGUCAAUGGACGAGAGUCUGAACCAGCCAAGUAGGCGUGAAGGAUGACUGCCCUAUGGGUUGUAAACUUCUUUUAUAAGGGAAUAAAGUGAGGGACGUGUCCCUUUUUGUAUGUACCUUAUGAAUAAGGAUCGGCUAACUCCGUGCCAGCAGCCGC
rnacentral:rRNA from 1 species